rnacentral:rRNA from 1 species
UGGGGAAUAUUGCACAAUGGGCGCAAGCCUGAUGCAGCCAUGCCGCGUGUGUGAAGAAGGCCUUCGGGUUGUAAAGCACUUUCAGCGGGGAGGAAGGCGUUAAGGUUAAUAACCUUGGCGAUUGACGUUACCCGCAGAAGAAGCACCGGCUAACUCCGUGCCAGCAGCCGCGGUAAUACGGAGGGUGCAAGCGUUAAUCGGAAUUACUGGGCGUAAAGCGCACGCAGGCGGUCUGUCAAGUCGGAUGUGAAAUCCCCGGGCUCAACCUGGGAACUGCAUUCGAAACUGGCAGGCUAGAGUCUUGUAGUGGGGGGUAGAAUUCCAGGUGUAGCGGUGAAAUGCGUAGAGAUCUGGAGGAAUACCGGUGGCGAAGGCGGCCCCCUGGACAAAGACUGACGCUCAGGUGCGAAAGCGUGGGGAGCAAACAGG